GCCGUCGAGGAUUAGGAUCGAGUUUCUUCGAUCGUGAGGGCAAUUAUUAGUGGCCUCUAGCCCCCCAGAUGGCAUCUUGAGGAGAGAGAAUCCACGCUACGAGAACUAACAUAGUGGACAUCGCAGUUGUCCGUAGCCGAUUUGCGGGUUACGGAGUUGUUGCAAGUAAAGAAGGGGAAAUCCGAGCGUUCUCGCGUUGGAUUUCCUCCACGUGUGAAGUGGGAAUGGUAGUGAUAUCUCGUGCUAUCUCUGUCAAGGGCAAGAAGGAGAAGGAAUUUAUUUGAGGCCCUACGACGUGGUGCGGUGGCUCACGCCUGUAAUCCCAACACUUUGGGAGGCCGAGGCAGGCGGAUCAUCUGAGAUCGAGAGUUCGAGACCAGCUUGACCAACAUGGAGAAACCCCGUCUCUACUAAAAGUACAAAAUUAGCCAGGCAUGGUGGCACAUGCCCGUAAUCCCAGCUACUCGGGAGGCUGAGGCAGGAGAGUAGCUUGAGCCCAGGAGGCGGAGGUUGUGGUGAGCCGAGAUCGCGCCAUUGCACAGCCUGGGCAACGAGCGAAACUCCAUCUCAAAAAAAUAAAUAAAAAUUUUUUUAAAAAA
rnacentral:lncRNA from 10 species